rnacentral:rRNA from 1 species
GAUGAACGCUGGCGGCGUGCCUAAUACAUGCAAGUCGAGCGAACGGACGAGAAGCUUGCUUUUCUGAUGUUAGCGGCGGACGGGUUAGUAACACGUUGAUCACCUACCUAUAAUACUGUGAUAACUUCGGGAAACCGGUGCUAAUACCUGAUAAUAUUUUGAACCUCAUGGUUCAUAAGUGAAAGCCGGUCUUGCUGUCACUUAUAGAUGGUUCCGCGCUGCAUUAGCUAGUUUGUCAGGUAACGGCUUACCAAGGCAACGAUGCAUAGCCGAAGUGAGAGAGUGAUAGGCGACAUGGGAGCGGAGACAGGGUCAAGACGACUAAGGGAGGCAGCAGUAGGGAAUGGUAGGCAAUGGGCGAAAGCAUGACGGAGUAACGGCGAGUGAGAGAUGGAAGUGUCGGGAUCGUAAAAAUGGGUUAUGAGGGAAGAACAGAUGUGGAAGGAGACGAGGAGAGAGUGACGGUAAUGAGUAAGAAAGCAACGGCUAACUACGUG